AAAUUAGUCCUGAUGUUAAUGAAUAAAAUAGCAUCAAGUUUUGCUCUGGAAGCUGGUUUACCGACUCUUCCUGUCUGCAGGAGACUGGAAAAGCUGUGAAAUUGAUACAAGACUAAAAGAUUGUUUGGAAUCAGCAGAACUAUUAGAAAAAUAAACUUAAGACCAAACAGUAAGUUAAUAUCCAGAGUAAGACUUUGAGGGAGCAUCCAGCGCCAUGCCCUGUGGUAGGAGAUGACUAAUGGCUUCUUCACACCCAGCUGCUUCUCAGCUCAAGGAGGAAAAUGAAGCAGCUUUUACAGCUGCUGAAGCAAUGAACGUGUGUCAGGAGAACAAACAACACAGUGGAGCAGUAAUUACACUCAGGGUGGAGCAGCUUCAGCUCACAGGUUCCACUUCCACAGGAGACCUGCUGCUGCAAGGCUUUAAACGCACUCAAGAAGGACAUUUUUUAGGUUCCUUCAGCUGGGAAAGAUGGAGGUGAUGUGCCCCCCCCCCAUGCUUUCAAUGACAACUCCAGAGUUCAGUUAUUCAUAUUUCAUCAGAGCUUCC